rnacentral:tRNA from 1 species
AUUUUAAUAGCUUAAUUAUUAAAGCUUAAUAUUGAAGAUAUUGUGAUAGUAUUUUUUACUUUAAAAUA